AUGAACGCUAGCGCAGCUUAACACAUGCAAGUCGAGGGGUAUGCCGAUUUAUCGGCAGAGACCGGCGCACGGGUGCGUAACGCGUAUGCAAUCUACCUUUCACAGAGGGAUAGCCCAGAGAAAUUUGGAUUAAUACCUCAUAGUAUAGCGGUUUCGCUAUGAAACCACUAUUAAAGUCACAACGGCAAAAGAUGAGCAUGCGUCCCAUUAGCUAGUUGGUAAGGUAACGGCUUACCAAGGCUACGAUGGGUAGGGGUCCUGAGAGGGAGAUCCCCCACACUGGUACUGAGACACGGACCAGACUCCUACGGGAGGCAGCAGUGAGGAAUAUUGGACAAUGGGCGCAAGCCUGAUCCAGCCAUGCCGCGUGCAGGAUGACGGUCCUAUGGAUUGUAAACUGCUUUUGUACAGGAAGAAACACUCCCUCGUGAGGGAGCUUGACGGUACUGUAAGAAUAAGGAUCGGCUAACUCCGUG
rnacentral:rRNA from 1 species